rnacentral:rRNA from 1 species
CCUACGGGUGGCAGCAGUAGGGAAUAUUGCUCAAUGGGGGAAACCCUGAAGCAGCAACGCCGCGUGGAGGAUGAAGGUUUUCGGAUUGUAAACUCCUUUUGUUAGAGAAGAUAAUGACGGUAUCUAACGAAUAAGCACCGGCUAACUCCGUGCCAGCAGCCGCGGUAAUACGGAGGGUGCCAGCGUUACUCGGAAUCACUGGUCGUAAAGAGCGCGUAGGCGGGAUAGCAAGUCAGAUGUGAAAUCCUAUGGCUUAACCAUAGAACUGCAUUUGAAACCGUUAUUCUAGAGUAGGGGAGAGGUAGGUGGAAUUCGUGGUGUAGGGGUAAAAUGCGUAGAGAUCAAGAGGAAUACUCAGUGCGAAGGCAGCCUGCUAGAACAUAACUGACGCUGAUGCGCGAAAGCGUGGGGAGCAAACAGGAUUAGAUACCCGUGUAGUC